AACCGGCGCCCGGAAGGUCAGCGUGUGAAGUAGGCGCUGGCAACGCGGGGUUACCCGCUGUUAUUGAGGAGUAACGGCCCAGCGGACCACCCAGGCUUGAGGCAGCGGCGGGAACCACUCGGUUUGCUGCGAUACCAUGGAAGGAGGCGGGGGAAGCGGCAACAAAACCACAGGGGGAUUGGCCGGCUUUUUCGGAGCCGGCGGAGCAGGUUACUCGCACGCGGAUUUGGCUGGCGUCCCGCUAACUGGUAUGAACCCUCUGUCUCCUUAUUUAAAUGUGGAUCCACGAUACCUCGUGCAGGAUACAGAUGAGUUUAUUUUACCUACCGGAGCUAAUAAAACCCGGGGCAGAUUUGAGCUGGCCUUCUUUACGAUUGGAGGAUGUUGCAUGACAGGGGCUGCGUUUGGUGCAAUGAAUGGUCUUCGGCUAGGAUUGAAGGAAACCCAGAACAUGGCCUGGUCCAAACCAAGAAAUGUACAGAUUUUGAAUAUGGUGACUAGGCAAGGGGCACUUUGGGCUAAUACUCUAGGUUCUCUGGCUUUGCUCUAUAGUGCAUUUGGUGUCAUCAUUGAGAAAACACGAGGUGCAGAAGAUGACCUUAACACAGUAGCAGCUGGAACCAUGACAGGCAUGUUGUAUAAAUGUACAGAGACAGGGUUUUGCCGUGUUGCCUAGGUUGUUCUCAAACUCCUGAGCUCAAGCCUGCCUCAGCCUCCCAAAGUGCUGGGAUUACAUGUGUGAGCCACCAUGCCUGGCCGUCACUAAUCUUCAAGGUGGUCUUCGAGGGAUAGCACGAGGUGGUCUGACAGGACUAACACUUACCAGCCUCUAUGCACUAUAUAAUAACUGGGAGCACAUGAAAGGCUCCUUGCUCCAACAGUCACUCUGAAGAUUUUGCCAACUCAUGAAUGGAGGACACUUCAGUAGUCAUCUAGAUCCUUUUAUAAGACAGUUUGGAGUUAUUCUCUCUCUUCUACCUACAAUUAGUUUGAAAAAUUGGAGAUUUUGAUUUGCUGUGAUGAAAAUCCUGGAUGGCUGACCAAGACUGGCACUUGUUCCAGCCAUUAGUGAGUUGAAGCCAAAGCCCUUUGGUGACUCACUGAGUACCAUGGUUCUGUUCUCCUCUGGAGAUCUUGCACGUAUCUGUUUUCCUCCCCCAUGAACUAGAAAACCACUUACUCCCAGAAUUCAGGUCGUGCUUGUUAGUACUAUAUCACCAAGUCCAUUCAUUUAAUGAUCCAAAACUGUAAUGUUGCACUGUAUUCCAAAUAAAGGGUAAAAACAGAACCAAAGUUAUAACUCCAACACACAAA